rnacentral:lncRNA from 7 species
CGUACGUACAAACGCGCAUGCUUGAUAUAAAUCACCCAUGUUUUAGCUAGCUUAUUACUGAAAACAGCAACAUAAUGCAUGGGUGUAAGCGGCUUUAAUUUACCCACCAACCAACCCAUAAAUAAGCUUAAUUUUAUAGAUUAAUUACCCGCAUAACCGAGUCUCGAUUAAGUUUAUUUGCUGGUUCAUGGAUAAACGUGCUUGUAACUCUAGUUACCAACAACCAAGAGUGUGAAGUUGUAAUUAUAACCCAGUUGGGCAAUAAAGAAGCGCGGAGAUUGGGCGCGGGUAGGUCUGAGGCGCCCAACAGCACUAGAAAACCCACAACAACUACGACGUGCAGCAAGCUAGUUGGAUGAUCUGAUUACUACGGCUACACAGUCUACUAC